rnacentral:rRNA from 1 species
UACGGGGGGGGCAAGCGUUGUCCGGAUUUACUGGGCGUAAAGGAUGCGUAGGCGGACAUUUAAGUCGGACGUGAAAUCCCCAGGCUCAACUUGGGAACUGCGUCCGAUACUGGAUGGCUUGAAUUCGGGAGAGGGAUGCAGAAUUCCAGGUGUAGCGGUGAAAUGCGUAGAUAUCUGGAGGAACACCGGUGGCGAAGGCGGCAUCCUGGACCGAGAUUGACGCUGAGGCGCGAAAGCCAGGGGAGCAAACGGG